AACACUGAAGCUAAAUAUGCCUGUAAGGAUGACCAUUUUUAACACUUGGAUGUUUGCUUGCAUUUCUUAUAUUAUGUGACAUCUUAGAUUUGUAGUAGCCGUUAUGCUUCACUGUGGAUUUGGCUACUCUAUUUCUUUCUGUAGUUGUAGCCUAAAACGAGUGCAGUGGGGGAAAUGGACCUAUAUAGCCAAUUCCAAUUAGUUUGAUAUUAAGGAUUAGUUAUGUUUCGUUGUAUUGCCAGUUGCAUGUGUAUGCAUGCGUGUAUACGCAUUCACAGGCUUAUUAUUCUAGUAUCAUUAUGUAUUCUCCUUGGAUAGGUUUGUCUCACAUCCCAUAUUUCCUCUUGUUUCUUUUUUAUAAAUGGCUCAUUAGAUGUUCUACUUAUGAUGUGUUGUCUUUCAUUGUUUUGCAUAAAAAAGUUUUGAAUUUCAUUACAGAAUGUUUGAAUGAGGCAUGGAAUAUGAGAUAUUUUGAGCUCCUAACUCUUGUACUUUAUGUCCUCCAUUUUCUAUUUUGGUAGUCAGCGGCAUGUGAUGAUUUGUUACCUUGAAUUUCAGGAAAGAAGAAACCCACAAUUCCCA
rnacentral:misc_RNA from 1 species